UUGAUUACGUCCCUGCCCUUUGUACACACCGCCCGUCGCUACUACCGAUUGAACGGCUUAGUGAGGUUUCCGGAUUUGCUUUGGGGAGCCGGAAACGGCAUCCUAUCGCGGAGAAGCUAAUCAAACUUGGUCGUUUAGAGGAAGUAAAAGUCGUAACAAGGUUUCCGUAGGUGAACCUGCGGAAGGAUCAUUA
rfam:Rhizopogon vesiculosus strain AM-OR11-056 contig245, whole genome shotgun sequence.